AGGGUUUGAUCAUGGCUCAGGAUGAACGCUGGCGGCGUGCUUAACACAUGCAAGUCGAACGAACCUUCGGGUUAGUGGCGGACGGGUGAGUAACGCGUGAGAAUCUGCCCUCAGGAGGGGGAUAACGGUUGGAAACGACCGCUAAUACCCCAUAUGCCUACUGGUGAAAUGAAUUUCGCCUGAGGAUGAGCUCGCGUCUGAUUAGCUAGUUGGUGAGGUAAUGGCUCACCAAGGCUUCGAUCAGUAGCUGGUCUGAGAGGAUGAUCAGCCACACUGGGACUGAGACACGGCCCAGACUCCUACGGGAGGCAGCAGUGGGGAAUUUUCCGCAAUGGGCGAAAGCCUGACGGAGCAACGCCGCGUGAGGGACGAAGGCCUCUGGGCUGUAAACCUCUUUUCUCAAGGAAGAAGAUAUGACGGUACUUGAGGAAUAAGCCACGGCUAAUUCCGUGCCAGCAGCCGCGGUAAUACGGGAGUGGCAAGCGUUAUCCGGAAUUAUUGGGCGUAAAGCGUCCGCAGGCGGCUUUUCAAGUCUGCUGUUAAAGCGUGGAGCUUAACUCCAUCAUGGCAGUGGAAACUGAAAGGCUUGAGUAUGGUAGGGGCAGAGGGAAUUCCCGGUGUAGCGGUGAAAUGCGUAGAUAUCGGGAAGAACACCAGUGGCGAAGGCGCUCUGCUGGGCCAUUACUGACGCUCAUGGACGAAAGCCAGGGGAGCGAAAGGGAUUAGAUACCCCUGUAGUCCUGGCCGUAAACGAUGAACACUAGGUGUCGGGGGAAUCGACCCCUUCGGUGUCGUAGCUAACGCGUUAAGUGUUCCGCCUGGGGAGUACGCACGCAAGUGUGAAACUCAAAGGAAUUGACGGGGGCCCGCACAAGCGGUGGAGUAUGUGGUUUAAUUCGAUGCAACGCGAAGAACCUUACCAGGGUUUGACAUCCUGCGAACCUCUUAGAAAUUUGAGGGUGCCUUCGGGAAUGCAGUGACAGGUGGUGCAUGGCUGUCGUCAGCUCGUGUCGUGAGAUGUUGGGUUAAGUCCCGCAACGAGCGCAACCCACGUUUUUAGUUGCCAGCAUUUAGUUGGGCACUCUAGAAAGACCGCCGGUGAUAAACCGGAGGAAGGUGUGGAUGACGUCAAGUCAUCAUGCCCCUUACACCCUGGGCUACACACGUACUACAAUGCUACGGACAAAGGGCAGCAAACUCGCGAGAGCUAGCAAAUCCCAUAAACCGUGGCUCAGUUCAGAUCGUAGGCUGCAACUCGCCUACGUGAAGCAGGAAUCGCUAGUAAUCGCAGGUCAGCAUACUGCGGUGAAUACGUUCCCGGGCCUUGUACACACCGCCCGUCACACCAUGGAAGUUGGCCAUGCCCGAAGUCGUUACUCCAACCCUUGUGGAGGAGGACGCCGAAGGUGGGGCUAAUGACUGGGGUGAAGUCAUAACAAGGUAACCG
rnacentral:rRNA from 1 species